CCAAAGUGAAAGAAACACGCCUAUGUGUAAAAAGCAUGAAACAUAUAUAUACUUUUGGAAGCAAGAUAGUUUUCCAUUCAAACAUGGAAUUAACUAUAUAAAAAUUAAAUGAACUAAAAACCACACAGUAAAUAGUAAAAAAUAAUAAGAAACUAAGAAUUAAAAGUAUCUACUGUUCUCUUUUAGCUGCUUUGGGACGAAAAUACCUUUUUGUCAAAGAACGUAUUCAUUAUACUAUAUAUGUAUUACACUGACAGUUGGGCCAUUUCCACCUGGUCUAUAAAAGCUAGUGGGUGCAGGCUGCUUUGGCCACCACUACAGCAUAUUGAUGCUAUUUUGAACAACAGCUGACAAGCAGCAGCAAUCUCCCAACCCCUGUUCCCAAAAGUAAGAAGCAAGAACAAGGGCUCUGAUGAUACUUGUUUAUUCACUGUUGCUGCUACUGAAGCAGCAAGCUGAGAAAAUCACAUGCAACUAACACACAAAGGAAAAAAGUGGUUGAGUUCAACCUCCCUACCCAGAAGUUCUGCUUGUAUCACUACAUGAUAAAAUUAUUUAAGGAUUUUUUUCUUUAAAAAGUGAGGUGGAGAGAGAAGAAAAGACAAAAUUGGUGUUUUGAUUAGAAAGGGAACCUAUAAUGUAUCUAAGUUAAAUAAUUAAUGACACAUGUAAUGACACACUUCAGCUCCUAGUUUAGAUUUAACUGUUCAAUUAUCAAAAUUCUCAGAAGAAUUUUAACCAGGUUUAGGGUGAAUUCAUAAAAAGUAUGUUCCCUAGCUAUACUGGAAAAUAUCUAAGUAUCUAAACUUUAAUCAAGCAACAAAACUAUAUUAUGCUUAUAAAAAGCUCCAGUCUCCCAGCUUCAACAUAUCUAAUCACAUCACAAGUUUGACAUCAGACAUUAUUAGCAAAUAAAUACGAUUUUAGCCCAUAAAGCUUUUACAAAAAUUUCAAUUAUUAAAAAAAAUUUCCACAAGUAAUUUACCUACUUUGAAUGUGUAACACAAAGCUAAAAACUUAGUAAGUACCUAAUAUCAAUUGACCACUAACAGAAAUGUAAGUAUUUGUUCAUCAAAUUAUCUUUAAACUUAAAGGUAAUUUCAUCUAUGGACUUAUAACUUUAAAUUUAAAAGAUAUUCUUAAACACCUUAAGCAAUUUUUGAUUCUGAAAAAUAAUUUAUAAGUCAGAAAAAUUAGGACAUCUGUAAAUUACUUUUUUAAAUGCUAGAACUGGUGGCUAAGUUUAAAUAACAGCUAGUCAAGAAGGUUAGGUUUGAAAUUAAAUAAAAGUAUAAAAUACAAUAAUAUUAAAUAAAUAAAAUUCAGAUAUUUUGCUAAAAACCCCCAAUCUUUAAUUUUUAUCAAAAUUGAAAAACCGUUUUCUACUCAGCAAUAGCUCAAUAAUGAACCAACAAUGUUAUAAUAAAAAUUAAAAAGACAAUUCUGAAGAACACAGGAUAACAAUAUUACUAAAUAUAUUUGUUUACUAUGAAAGUUAUACAAUAAAAGAGUAAGAGCAAAAUCAAAAAAGGAUUUAAAAAAAAUUAAGAAACUUAGAAACAGUAACAAAUAAACUAUUAACCAGAGGAUGAGCCUCAGCAACUACAUCUGAAACAUGCUACAUGUUUCUCUUCCAAGUGACUCAAACCAUGAAAAUAGGAAAGUAAAACUAAGCCAAAUCAUAUAUGUUAAUGAAAUAACAAAAGUGGGGGUUUGUGGUGCUGAGAACUGAUAUUUUACUUCAAAAUGACAUUAAAUGAAAAAUUGAAUCUUCACAUUAAUUAAAUAUUGCCCUUUGAAAAUCCUUAUCAGAAAAUUUAAGUCUGAUGUGUUAGGUCUUAUUUGAAGAAACUGAAAAAGAUUAAUGAUCUAUUCACUAAUCAAAAAAACCCAUAAAGUACAUGUACAAAACUGCUUCAAACAUUUAAAGCUUCUUCAUUAAGAAACUGUAUCUAUCUACUCUUCAAUGAAUCCUCAGCAACACUAUAAAACCUCUAAUAAAGAAAACUCUUAUAGCUGAUAAACUGUUUAAAAUAUAAGUUGUCUUUAUAAACUAGCAUUAUUCAUCAGUGACAAUGAAUAAUUUCAAGUCCCUUCAUACGUAGAUGUGUUAAAUUACCUCUAUUCUAGUUUAUCCAAAUAUUCUUUCCCCCUAAGGAUAACUAUUUCAGUAAAACUAGAACACAGACAGCAUAACUGUAUUUGGGAAACAACAGAGAAUUUUCCUGAAAAUGAAUGCUAUUUAACCCUGAAAAUGCAUUUAACCAAAAAUAUAAAUAUUAUACAAAUAAGAUAAAAAUCUAGCACUGAAAAAAAUAUAACACAGUAAGUGCUUUCCCCCAAAUCCUGUCAUAAUGAACUACAUAUUAAAACUUAGUUAGACACAGAUAAACAGGUUUGUAAAUUUAAAACAGCCAAAAUCCUUACAAAAUGUCCUUUAUGGGGUAAGUUAAGGAACAGUCAAUCACAUAAUAGCAGUAAAAGCCCUUAUUAACCUGUCUUCUAAAAUAACAUACACUACUAAUUAGGUUAAAGUUUUUCACUCUGUAAGAGCUGACCAAUAGAAGAAAACUGUUAAUAUCGGCAUCAAUUAUUUUAGGUGUUAAAUUAUUCACUAAAAAUUUGGAAGUUUAUAAGCUAUAUAAGGGACAAUUUUAUGAUGCUAAAUAUUUGUGUCCAAACAACAUUUUGACAACUUCAGAGAUCACAAAUCAUAAACUCUCUUAAUGAGGAACAACUCUGUGGACUUAAGUCUUUUUCUAUAACAUAAAUUCAAAAGCUGUAUCUCUUCCCUCCUUUGACUCAUUAAGGCUGUGUCUAAAGAUAUCUGGACUGAAAGUGACAAAAUGAACCUAGAUUUUUUUUUCCAGAUACUGAGAAACCAUAUUUUUUACUUUUCACCUUAAUGUUCUUUAACCUGAAAAAUAUCACUUACAGAGAAAAAAUUGUAUCUGUUCUCAUCCUAUUCAAACUAAGCUGCUUUCUGUAACAUUCUUAAAUCAAAGUUAUGAAAACUUUUUAUAGCUUGUAUCAAACAACUGCCUUACAGUAUCAUGACACUAAUAUCUGAACUUCACUUAUAUAAAACUGAUUUCUAUUAAAUUUUAACAUUUUACUUAACUGUUAACAGAUUUACAUUCCUAGAUUAUCUAAUAGCUAAUAACAGAAAUAUCUGAUUUUUAAGUAUUUUGAUAUAUAUCUCAAUGUUCAAACAUUCUUAAACACACAUCUAAGAAUUUGCUGGAAAAAAAAUCCUUUAACACUAUUUAAAGAUAAAAGCAAUUCUAUGACCAAAGUGAUAAAUACACUUGACUCUUAAGACUAAAUUACACUUUUCUUAUGAAAACAAACCUUUGUGAUUUCCUAUAUCUUAAGUAUAUAAAAUAAAUGCUAGUAAAAAAAUGUAAAGAAAAAAUUAUAGUAUAUUUUAGUCAAAUUCACUUUAUUUAGCAAAUAGUUUUAAAAAACACAUUUAGUUAAUACUUUAUCAUGUAAUUAAUACUUUACUAUUCAAAAAUUAAUCAAGUAAUACUUAGUAAUACUGUUAAAUGAGUUUUCAUUACACCAGAUUACAAUUUAGAAAGCAGCUGAAAUUUUUAUUAGCUAAGUAUCUGAAAUUUUCAACUAAAAUUAUAAAAUAAACUUUAUUUUAAAGUAAAUAUGCUGGAAAAGUGAUUCUGUGAUGAAGUAUUCUGGAGGUAAAGACAAGUCAUUAGAAGUUUUGGAAUUCUACAGUUUAUUUUUAAAGAGUUUACAACUUUUGAUAUGAACAAUUUAAAUAUUUUACUCAGAGUACCUAUGAGUAAGAUACUGGUUUCUGCUUUAGAAAGUGCGUUUUUCAGUUUCAACCAAAUUGCUGUUUUGGUUAGGAUAGUACUUGGAAUAUUUCAAGUUCUCUUAAAAUAUUCUCACUAAUCUUAUCAAAUUUCGUAGGCUCUAUCUACCACUAUAUCUAUCAAAGAAUGAAGCACCAAAUUUCACUUGAUUUAAACCAUCUAUUUUAUAACAUGAAAAAUCUACUACUUAAUUAUUUAACAUAUAACACUGUAGUAACAAACUUAAGAAAAAACUCAUAACAUAUAUUUAUUCUUAGAAUAAAUAAACUCAUUUGGAGCUGGACCCAUACAGGAUAAGAACAUCAACUGCAUAAAAAAAUCUGAAGCUUUAAUAAAGCAAGAAAAGCUCAACCUUGGCCACUUCACUGAAUAACUUCUGUUAAUCAAUAAAUCUUUAUUGAAUUUAGCUCACCUAAAAGUUCUAACUUUACCAAAUGUCUAGUUCAAUUAUAUUGCAAAGAUAUAAAAUCGUAUGCUUUAAAAAUUCAUUAGUAUACCUUAAUCUCCUAUCAUGUUCCAUUGCAUUAUGUGAAUGUUCAAUCAAAGAAGUUAGGUUGUUCUCCAGAAUUGGCUCUCUCCUAAAGGUCAAAACCUGCAAUAAAAAUGUCAUGUAUUAUAGCAUGAAGACACUCAACAGACUUCCGCCUCCUGCAGUUUCACAGUUGAUCCCUGAACGCAGAGGUAAGAUCUUCAAAAUGACCCCAAUCUUGCCUAUGUUCAAAGAAACCCUAACUUUUUAAAAUAGAAAUAUUUUGAUUAGAAACACCUGUGAAAUGCUUUAUCAUCCGAAGCCUCUUCAAACAAAUCAGAUUAAUAUAUUUCUGCUUUCAUUUCUCUUUAGGGCAUUCAUUUUGAAAGCAGUGUAGAUAAGUGUGUAUGUUUAUGUAGGCAGUUGUUAGAGGACUGCUAAAGGGGACUUCAUAAGGAAAAUAUCAGAAAUAUAGUUUGUCUUUGUUUCUAAUACUCAUAAAAUCCAUGGUUUAAAAAGUUAUUCAACGGAUAGAGACAAAUUUUUAUCUACCUUUCUCCCCAAAUUAUCAUAUGUUUUAAUGGUGACAGAAAUUAUCAUUACUUUCAACUUGGGUCUUUUGCCAGGCCUGAGUGAAUAAUACUGAUGUUUCCAAAUGUUUUAAGACAUUACAGUCUAAUAGAACAAAACUUAGAAUUUACUUUUAAAACAAAUUAAAAUACUUAUAAGUCAUAAAUGGAGGACUAUUGGGAAGAUGGCUUUUUUUUUAAUGUGUCCAAGUAGAGGUGGUGUAACUAAAUGUAUGGAAGUGGUGUUUUCAUUUAUUUCACCUGAAUCUUAAUAAUUUACGGACAACCGACUAUAUAAAAUAUUAAACUGUUAAAUGACCAAAGGUUUAUAAUGGGCUAUAUGUGAACCAUAAUUCUUUGGAGUUUUCCACUUUUAUUUAAAAACAGCUUAGAAGAAAUCAUAACCCCAAAACCCUUUUCUCUGCAGCCAAAUGACUGUUUAAUGGCAAAAGACACACAUAUAUAACUCACAAAACACCAACCCUGAAAACAUGACUUUUUAAAAAAUUAGAAUAAUUUCUACAUAGUCUUUCUUAAAAGAAUAGACAUUUUUCUAUAUGUGAGCACUCUGAAAAGUGAGGUAUCUUAAUUAAAAAAAAAUCAUAGGAUAACAGAAGAAACCAAUGUGUAUUCCAUGCCAAAUAUUAAGUUUUUAAAUAGCAGGAAAACAAAAAAUACUAAAUAAUAAAGAACAAAAGAGGUUCAGGUAUAAGACAAAUAUUAAACCAACUGAGUAUGAUAAAAAAAGACAAAAACCACCCCUCUGAAAUACCAAAAUUCAAAUCUCAAAUCUAUUACAAAAUAUAGGUUUUUAUACUUUGCACCCACAACAAGUCUUCCCACUGCAAAGAUUCUUUAGUGAAACAGGACAGGAUUAAACAAAAGUGCAUUAUAUUUCUCAUAAUUUGAUAUGAAAUAUUAAGAAUAAAAUUCAUAUAUAUACUUAAUAUCAAUAUUUUAAAUGGCUUUCUAAAAGAAAAGAUCCUUUGAAACAUCUUUGACACAGGCAAAGAAAAAAAAAGGCAAAAGAAAAUCAUUUCCCAACCAUAAAGCAGUAUUUAUAGGAAGGCUCUACAGCCAUUUAUUUGUUCAUGCUUAAAAUCAGAAAAAAAUAUAAACACGUAUCAGUAAAAUGACAUUC
rnacentral:lncRNA from 1 species